UCGGACGGCGGAGAGGGUACGGCUUCACGGUCGAAGGUUAAGCACCUCCCUCGUCGCUUUCCCACGACGUCGCCCUCCUCUCGUGGAAGAGAACGCCUCUCAGAUCAAGGUCGCAGUUGCGGUCCUCAAAUACGCAGCAAAAUUGAUACGAUCUGGUCCCUAGGUUUUAGGACUUGGAUUCACCAUCAAUAUAUAAGAGGUUUCGAGCAUUAGCAGAUCAGCUUUUCCACAAUCCUGAUUAUCAUAAGCAUCUUAAACAUUUGAAGAAACAUUAUGAAGGCUGUGUUCCCAUGGAGUCCAAGAAGUACCUGAAAAUAAUGAAAAGAAUGGGAAGAUCACUUGACCCUACAAACAGUUGCAGACCGAGUAAUUUUGAAUUGAACUGUUCAUUCUCUGCUUCCUGAUUUAGAACAGGCUUUUAGGCAUUUAGUCUGCCCAAUAGCUGAUGUGCCAGAUUUUUUUUUGUGCAAUUAUUGUAUGUGUAUAUGUAUAUUCUUCUUCUAAACUAUGCUUGUAGUAUGAAGUGCAUCAAAGUUCUUCUCCCUCGAGGGUUGUGAUAUAGAAAUGGCCUCAGGAUAUGGGAAGAUUUAUUGCGUGAUUAAAAGAACAAGAAAAAGAAAACUGAAUCUAACCUGACGUGGCAGCCGUUGAUCACAUCAAGUUUUCAGAAAGCCAUGCUGUUGACAAUGGGUUAAGUCAAAGCGUCAUCAGGUUCAUGUGGGGCCCGCAUGAGCGGACGGCUGAGAUGGGAGAUCAUGGCAACAUAUGAGAAGCAUCACCGAAACGAUAUCCUCAUGCCCCCAAAUUGGACACGUCCACGUACUCGCUAUUGUCUUCUUUUCCCUAGCCGGACGCUUACAUAGUUCCU